GUGGGUGUAGCUCAGUUGGUUAGAGUACUAGAUUGUGGUUCUAGGUGUCGCCGGUUCAACUCCGGUCAUCCACCCCA
rnacentral:tRNA from 1 species